AGGUUUCCGUGGGUGAAUCGACUGCGGAAUGAUCCUUGUCUUUUGCUUGGAAAACAUCGAUUUUUGUGUUCGUCUUCUAUUCUACUGUUGUGGGGGAGGUGUCGCCUCGUCGGGCCAGCGGCCGGGGUCCCCAAUCGGGCCAGCGCGCGGGGACAACGGUUCGGACUGCGCCAGGGAACUGGAGAUGCUGAGGCGGCCGGCGAGCGUGCUCUGCUUGCCGCCUAUGCAAAGGAAUACACGAUGACUCUCGGCAACGGAUAUCUCGGCUCUCGCAUCGAUGAAGAACGUAGCGAAAUGCGAUACGUGGUGUGAAUUGCAGAAUCCCGCGAACCAUCGAGUCUUUGAACGCAAGUUGCGCCCGAGGGAUCCGCCCGAGGGCACGCCUGCCUGGGCGUUAGAAGCCCUUCCACGCUCGGUGCUCAUUUUCAGCGCCGAUGCGGAUCGUGGCCCUCCGAGCCCAAGGGGGGCGGUGGGCCUAAUUGUGCGGCCGCCGGGGGGAGCCGGGAGCGGCGAGUGGUGGAACGCUGCGUACGCCGCCCCGCGCCCCUCUGCCGGCAGAUGGCCUUGACCGACCUUCGAACGGGGAGCCGUGCCCGCGACGGCGCGGGGCCUUCGGAUCGAUACCCCAGGUCAGGCGGGGUUACCCGUCAUAAGAAAAACCCCA
rnacentral:rRNA from 1 species